rnacentral:rRNA from 1 species
UGAGGAAUAUUGGUCAAUGGGCGAGAGCCUGAACCAGCCAAAUCGCGUGAAGGAAGACUGCCUUAUGGGUUGUAAACUUCUUUUAUACAGGAAUAAAAAACGGGGACGUGUCCCUUAUUGCAUGUACUGUAUGAAUAAGCAUCGGCUAACUCCGUGCCAGCAGCCGCGGUAAUACGGAGGAUGCGAGCGUUAUCCGGAUUUAUUGGGUUUAAAGGGUGCGCAGGCGGGCUUUUAAGUCAGCGGUGAAAUCUCGGGGCUUAACUCCGAAACUGCCGUUGAAACUGGGAGUCUUGAGUAUGGAUGAAGUAGGCGGAAUUCGUUGUGUAGCGGUGGCAUGCUUAGAUAUAACGAGGAACUCCGAUUGCGUAGGCAGCUUACUAAGCCAUAACUGACGCUCAAGCACGAAAGCGUGGGGAUCAAACAGGAUUAGAUACCCUGGUAGUCCACGCCGUAAACGAUGAUUACUAGUUGUAUGCGAUAUACCGUAUGUGACUAAGCGAAAGCGAUAAGUAAUCCACCUGGGGAGUACGCCGGCAACGGUGAAACUUAAAUGAAUUGACGGGGUCAUAGCUGUUUCCUG